rnacentral:rRNA from 1 species
GACGAACGCUGGCGGCGUGCUUAACACAUGCAAGUCGAACGGAAAGGCCCUGCUUUUGUGGGGUGCUCGAGUGGCGAACGGGUGAGUAACACGUGAGUAACCUACCCUUGACUUUGGGAUAACUUCAGGAAACUGGGGCUAAUACCGGAUAGGAGCUCCUGCUGCAUGGUGGGGGUUGGAAAGUUUCGGCGGUUGGGGAUGGACUCGCGGCUUAUCAGCUUGUUGGUGGGGUAGUGGCUUACCAAGGCUUUGACGGGUAGCCGGCCUGAGAGGGUGACAGGCCACAUUGGGACUGAGAUACGGCCCAGACUCCUACGGGAGGCAGCAGUGGGGAAUAUUGCACAAUGGGCGGAAGCCUGAUGCAGCAACGCCGCGUGCGGGAUGACGGCCUUCGGGUUGUAAACCGCUUUCGCCUGUGACGAAGCGUGAGUGACGGUAAUGGGUAAAGAAGCACCGGCUAACUACGUG